UACGUAGGGGGCAAGCGUUGUCCGGAUUUAUUGGGCGUAAAGAGCUCGUAGGCGGCUUGUCACGUCGGGUGUGAAAGCCCGGGGCUUAACCCCGGGUCUGCAUUCGAUACGGGCUAGCUAGAGUGUGGUAGGGGAGAUCGGAAUUCCUGGUGUAGCGGUGAAAUGCGCAGAUAUCAGGAGGAACACCGGUGGCGAAGGCGGAUCUCUGGGCCAUUACUGACGCUGAGGAGCGAAAGCGUGGGGAGCGAACAGG
rnacentral:rRNA from 1 species